rnacentral:rRNA from 1 species
GUGACCUCAAAUCAGGUAGGACUACCCGCUGAACUUAAGCAUAUCAAUAAGCGGAGGAAAAGAAACUAACAAGGAUUCCCCUAGUAACUGCGAGUGAAGCGGGAAAAGCUCAAAUUUAAAAUCUGUCAGUCUUUGAU